rnacentral:misc_RNA from 1 species
GAUGAAGAACGUAGCGAAAUGCGAUAAGUAAUGUGAAUUGCAGAAUUCAGUGAAUCAUCGAAUCUUUGAACGCACAUUGCGCCCGUCAGUAUUCUGGCGGGCAUGCCUGUUCGAGCGUCAUUACGCCCCUCAAGUCCCCUGUGGACUUGGUGUUGGGGAUCGGCGAGGCUGGUUUUCCAGCACAGCCGUCCCUUAAAUUAAUUGGCGGUCUCGCCGUGGCCCUCCUCUGCGCAGUAGUAAAACACUCGCAACAGGAGCCCGGCGCGGUCCACUGCCGUAAAACCCCCCAACUUUUUAUAGUUGACCUCGAAUCAGGUAGGACUACCCGCUGAACUUAAGCAUAUCAAUAAGCGGAGGG